rnacentral:rRNA from 1 species
GGCGUGCUUAACACAUGCAAGUCGAACGGGACUGUGGGGGCAACUCUGCAGUCUAAUGGCGGACGGGUGAGUAACACGUGGGUAACCUGCCCGGAAGUGGGGAAUACCUCGGGGAAACUCGAGCUAAUACCGCAUGACAUCUUCGGGACGAAAGUCCUGACGAUCAAAGCGGGGUCGCAAGAUCUCGCGCUACCGGAUGGGCCCGCGCCCGAUUAGCUAGUUGGUGGGGUAACGGCUCACCAAGGCGACGAUCGGUAACCGGCCUGAGAGGGCGAUCGGUCACACCGGAACUGAGACACGGUCCGGACUCCUACGGGAGGCAGCAGUGGGGAAUCUUGCGCAAUGGGCGAAAGCCUGACGCAGCAACGCCGCGUGGAGGAUGAAGGCCCUUGGGUUGUAAACUCCUGUCGGCUGGGAAGAAAUCGUUCGGGGCUAAUACCUCCGGACGUUGACUGUACCAGCAAAGGAAGCCCCGGCUAACUCUGUGCCAGCAGCCGCGGUAAUACAGAGGGGGCCAGCGUUAUUCGGAAUUAUUGGGCGUAAAGGGCGCGUAGGCGGCCAUGCGUGUCUCCCGUGAAAUCCCUCGGCUUAACUGAGGACGUGCGGGAGAAACUGCAAGGCUCGAGUCCGGGAGAGGGGGGUGGAAUUCCCAGUGUAGCGGUGAAAUGCGUAGAUAUUGGGAGGAACACCGGUGGCGAAGGCGGCCCCCUGGACCGGUACUGACGCUGAGGCGCGAAAGUGUGGGUAGCAAACGGGAUUAGAUACCCCGGUAGUCCACGCCGUAAACGAUGGGCACUUGGUGUCGCGGGUAUCGACCCCUGCGGUGCCGAAGCUAACGCAUUAAGUGCCCCGCCUGGGGAG